rnacentral:rRNA from 1 species
GCUUACGGCCAUACCAGCCUGGGUACGCCCGAUCUCGUCUGAUCUCGGAAGCUAAGCAGGGUCGGGCCUGGUUAGUACUUGGAUGGGAGACCGCCUGGGAAUACCAGGUGCUGUAAGCAUUUUGUCCACGAGGGUGUGCUCUUGCACUAUUUCAUCAGCAACACUGCCUUGUAKUAAGCAUUUAAUGAUGAAUUGACUAAAUGUCUGUUUUAUCAGACUCACUUUGACUAUAUAUGUUGUAGCAAGAGAUUGUUUCUCGCUUACGGCCAUACCAGCCU